rnacentral:SRP_RNA from 1 species
GCGCCGGGAGAUUUGCGGUACAAUUAAAAAUUAUAUUCUCAAGCUUAAGUCCGCGCCCUCCGUCGGCGGUCAAGUCUUGCGCAAGAGGCGGUUGCGAACCACGUCAGGGCCUGACGGCAGCAGCGUUAAGCAAACACGCCCCUGUGCCGCAAGGGUUCUUGGCCGCCGACAGACGGCGCGGGUUUCUUUCCGCCGC